UUUCCCUCAGGAUAGCUGGCACUCGUUUAUAGCGAGUCUCAUCUGGUAAAGCGAAUGAUUAGAGGCCUUGGGGCCGAAACGACCUCAACCUAUUCUCAAACUUUAAAUGGGUGAGAUCUCUGGCUUGCUUGAAACUUGAAGCCACGAGAAUUAACAUUGUAAUAAUGGAUCAGAGUGCCAAGUGGGCCAAUUUUGGUAAGCAGAACUGGCGCUGUGGGA
rnacentral:rRNA from 1 species